AGUGAACGCUGGCGGUAGCCCUAACACAUGCAAGUCGAACGGCAGCACAGUAAGAGCUUGCUCUUACGGGUGGCGAGUGGCGGACGGGUGAGGAAUACAUCGGAAUCUACUUUUUCGUGGGGGAUAACGUAGGGAAACUUACGCUAAUACCGCAUACGACCUACGGGUGAAAGCAGGGGAUCUUCGGACCUUGCGCGAUUGAAUGAGCCGAUGUCGGAUUAGCUAGUUGGCGGGGUAAAGGCCCACCAAGGCGACGAUCCGUAGCUGGUCUGAGAGGAUGAUCAGCCACACUGGAACUGAGACACGGUCCAGACUCCUACGGGAGGCAGCAGUGGGGAAUAUUGGACAAUGGGCGCAAGCCUUAUCCAGCCAUACCGCGUGGGUGAAGAAGGCCUUCGGGUUGUAAAGCCCUUUUGUUGGGAAAGAAAAGCAGCAGGUUAAUACCCCGCUGUUCUGACGGUACCCAAAGAAUAAGCACCGGCUAACUUCGUG
rnacentral:rRNA from 1 species